rnacentral:rRNA from 1 species
ACUUUUGUGCUUGCACAGAAUGAUUAGUGGCGAACGGGUGAGUAACACGUGAGUAACCUGCCCCUGACUCUGGGAUAAGCCUGGGAAACUGGGUCUAAUACCGGAUAUGCACCGUGGACCGCAUGGUUUUUGGUGGAAAGAUUUUUUGGUCAGGGAUGGACUCGCGGCCUAUCAGCUUGUUGGUGAGGUAAUGGCUCACCGAGGCGACGACGGGUAGCCGGCCUGAGAGGGUGACCGGCCACACUGGGACUGAGACACGGCCCAGACUCCUACGGGAGGCAGCAGUGGGGAAUAUUGCACAAUGGGCGAAAGCCUGAUGCAGCGACGCCGCGUGAUGGAUGACGGCCUUCGGGUUGUAAACCUCUUUCAGUAGGGAAGAAGCGAAAGUGACGGUACCUGCAGAAGAAGCGCCGGCUAACUACGUGCCAGCAGCCGCGGUAAUACGUAGGGCGCAAGCGUUAUCCGGAAUUAUUGGGCGUAAAGAGCUCGUAGGCGGUUUGUCGCGUCUAUCGUGAAAGUCCGAGGCUCAACCUCGGAUCUGCGGUGGGUACGGGCAGACUAGAGUGAUGUAGGGGAGACUGGAAUUCCUGGUGUAGCGGUGAAAUGCGCAGAUAUCAGGAGGAACACCGAUGGCGAAGGCAGGUCUCUGGGCAUUAACUGACGCUGAGGAGCGAAAGCAUGGGGAGCGAACAGGAUUAGAUACCCUGGUAGUCCAUGCCGUAAACGUUGGGCACUAGGUGUGGGGGACAUUCCACGUUUUCCGCGCCGUAGCUAACGCAUUAAGUGCCCCGCCUGGG